rnacentral:rRNA from 1 species
AAUCAACGCUGGCGGCGUGCCUAACACAUGCAAGUCGAACGCGAGAGGGGCUUCGGCCCCGAUUGAGUGGCGAACGGGUGAGUAACGCGUGGGUGACCUACCUUCGAGUGGGGGAUAACGUCCCGAAAGGGACGCUAAUACCGCAUAACAUCCUGCUUUUGAAUGGGUGGAGAUCAAAGCCGGGGAUCGCAAGACCUGGCGCUUGAUGAGGGGCCCGCGUCUGAUUAGCUAGNGGUGAGGUAACGGCCCACCAAGGCAACGAUCAGUAUCCGGCCUGAGAGGGCGGACGGACACACUGGGACUGAGACACGGCCCAGACUCCUACGGGAGGCAGCAGUGGGGAAUUGUUCGCAAUGGGCGCAAGCCUGACGACGCAACGCCGCGUGGAGGAUGAAGGUCUUCGGAUUGUAAACUCCUGUUGCCCGGGACGAAUGGCUCCGACCUAACACGUCGGAGUGUGACGGUACCGGGUGA